rnacentral:rRNA from 1 species
UACGUAGGGGGCAAGCGUUGUUCGGAAUUACUGGGCGUAAAGGGCGCGUAGGCGGCAUGGCAAGUCAGGAGUGAAAGGCCUGGGCUCAACCGAGGAACUGCUUUUGAUACUGCCAAGCUAGAGUGCGGAAGGGGCAACUGGAAUUCCCAGUGUAGCGGUGAAAUGCGCAGAUAUUAGGAAGAACACCGGUGGCGAAGGCGGCUCUCUGGAACGGUACUGACGCUGAGACGCGAAAGCGUGGGGAGCGAACAGG